GGAAAAAGGGGCACAGACUGGCAGAACCGCCAGACAGGCUCAUUCAGUCUUGCCACCGCUUUGUGCUGGGAAAAGACAGACAGAAAGAGAAGAAUCAAGAGAAAGAGAAAGACAGACAGACAAGACCCAUAUAUUUAACUGAAAGAGCAAAGGAAGAAGGCAGCUGAUUGGAAAGAUACCCUUCUCUCCCAACUAAGGAAGAAGGCAAAAUUGGACCCCAUCCAACCCCAAAGGAAUUUGGCAGCGAGGGUCCCUGGCUCUUUAAGACCACUGAGGAAAAGGAGGAGAUGAUAUGACUACUCUUUGGGCAGCCAGGUAUAACUGACUAAGGGAUCCACUAUCCUGCUAUCUCUAUUCCUACCAUGCACAAGAAGUUGACAACUAUUUGGAGAUGAAAGACGAGAGCCAAAAUAAGAAAAAGGAUUGAGGAUGAUGAAGACAUUGAAACAAAGAAAUCCAGUAACUUGGACAUCGUUGGGUUAAAGGCAAACCUCUGAUGAACUAGAAUCCCAGCUCCCAUUCCAGUGCUUUCCCAUAGAAAACCAGCUCCCAUUCCAGUGCUUUCUCCAUUAUAUCAUAACAGGUCAUAGGUUUUUAACAACCUAGUAUCAAUUUCCUUGAACCACAGUCAAUAGUCAAUGAAAACUGAAUCACUUUGGAAAUGUUUUCAGUGUUCCACUAGAGGAUUCUUGCUAAGUCUGAAUGUCCACAGCACUACAGCUACUAAUAAAGAUAGGUAAAAAGAAAUACAAAACAUCAGAACAAAUGUUUUAAAAUAACUUUGGUAUUCCACUUCCUGUAUUCCAUUCACUAGACCAGUUUUUCUCAGUUGAAAAUAGUAUUUUCACUAUUCAACUUUUGUUUGAAACCUGUUCCUGAAUAUUACCAAACUAUGUUGGCACAUGGUUACCCAUAGAGCCAAGGAACACAUGGAAAAGGAAUCACUAUAUUCUGGAAAUGAAAGCUAAUAACAGGUAAACUUUGAUAUUGCUGAUAGUUGAUAACUGAUAGUUGAAAGGAUUAGCCAUCUCCUUUCAGACAAGAAUGCUAAUCAGGAAAGUAGAAGGGAGACAAAAAAGAUGGAAAGAUAUAAGUUGUGUAAAAAUGUCAGAAAAAAAAUAGAAACAUGCAAGAACACGAAACCCCCCUCACCCCUCCCACCCUUUACCUUGGCAAUUUCUGAACAUUAAAAUCCUAAUGACCAACAAA